rnacentral:rRNA from 2 species
CGGAGUGGACGCAUCACUGGUGUUCGGGUUGUCAUGCCAAUGGCACUGCCCGGUAGCUAAAUGCGGAAGAGAUAAGUGCUGAAAGCAUCUAAGCACGAAACUUGCCCCGAGAUGAGUUCUCCCUGACUCCUUGAGAGUCCUGAAGGAACGUUGAAGACGACGACGUUGAUAGGCCGGGUGUGUAAGCGCAGCGAUGCGUUGAGCUAACCGGUACUAAUGAACCGUGAGGCUUAACCUUACAACGCCGAAG